rnacentral:rRNA from 1 species
CAGGCCUAACACAUGCAAGUCGAACGCAUGCCUUCGGGCAUGAGUGGCAGACGGGUGAGUAACGCGUGGGAACCUACCCCUUGGUACGGGAUAGCUCCGGGAAACUGGAGAUAAUACCGUAUGUGUCCUGAGGGACAAAGAUUCAUCGCCAAGGGAUGGGCCCGCGUCGGAUUAGCUAGUUGGUGGGGUAACGGCCUACCAAGGCGACGAUCCGUAGCUGGUCUAAGAGGAUGAUCAGCCACAUUGGGACUGAGACACGGCCCAAACUCCUACGGGAGGCAGCAGUGGGGAAUAUUGGACAAUGGGCGCAAGCCUGAUCCAGCCAUGCCGCGUGAGUGAUGAAGGCCCUAGGGUUGUAAAGCUCUUUCACCGGUGACGAUAAUGACGGUAACCGGAGGAGAAGCCCCGGCUAACUUCGUGCCAGCAGCCGCGGUAAU